rnacentral:rRNA from 1 species
GACCAUCUCCUAAGGCUAAAUACUCUCUAGUGACCGAUAGUGAACCAGUACCGUGAGGGAUAUGUGACAAGCACCCCGGAAGGGGAGUGAAAUAGAACCUGAAACCGUGUGCUUACAAGUAGUCAGAGCUCGUUAAUGGGUGAUGGCGUGCCUUUUGUAGAAUGAACCGGCGAGUUACGAUAUGAUGCAAGGUUAAGCAGUAAAUGUGGAGCCGUAGCGAAAGCGAGUCUGAAUAGGGCGUCUAGUAUUUGGUCGUAGACCCGAAACCAGGUGAUCUACCCUUGGUCAGGUUGAAGUUCAGGUAACACUGAAUGGAGGACCGAACCGACUUACGUUGAAAAGUGAGCGGAUGAACUGAGGGUAGCGGAGAAAUUCCAAUCGAACCUGGAGAUAGCUGGUUCUCUCCGAAAUAGCUUUAGGGCUAGCCUCAAGUGAUGAUUAUUGGAGGUAGAGCACUGUUUGGACGAGGGGCCCCUCUCGGGUUACCGAAUUCAGACAAACUCCGAAUGCCAAUUAAUUUAACUUGGGAGUCAGAACAUGGGUGAUAAGGUCCGUGUUCGAAAGGGAAACAGCCCAGACCACCAGCUAAGGUCCCAAAAUAUAUGUUAAGUGGAAAAGGAUGUGGCGUUGCCCAGACAACUAGGAUGUUGGCUUAGAAGCAGCCAUCAUUUAAAGAGUGCGUAAUAGCUCACUAGUCGAGUGACACUGCGCCGAAAAUGUACCGGGGCUAAACAUAUUACCGAAGCUGUGGAUUGUCCUUUGGACAAUGGUAGGAGAGCGUUCUAAGGGCGUUGAAGCAUGAUCGUAAGGACAUGUGGAGCGCUUAGAAGUGAGAAUGCCGGUGUGAGUAGCGAAAGACGGGUGAGAAUCCCGUCCACCGAUUGACUAAGGUUUCCAGAGGAAGGCUCGUCCGCUCUGGGUUAGUCGGGUCCUAAGCUGAGGCCGACAGGCGUAGGCGAUGGAUAACAGGUUGAUAUUCCUGUACCACCUAUAAUCGUUUUAAUCGAUGGGGGGACGCAGUAGGAUAGGCGAAGCGUGCG